GGGCGGAUACCCGAGUGGCCAAAGGGGUCAGACUGUAAAUCUGAUGGCUCACGCCUACGAAGGUUCGAAUCCUUCUUCGCCCACCA
rnacentral:tRNA from 1 species